rnacentral:lncRNA from 1 species
UUCCUUAUGUGCUACAUGCGGCAAAUAGAUAUUCUCAUUCUAUUCACAAACCUAAUUAUUCACUGUGAAAAUAACUAAGUCACAUGUCACCAUGCCCAGUUCUAACCCUAGAAUUCCUUUCUCAAUUCCUUCUAGAGUAACAAGGUAAUUACUGAUCAGAUAAUUAAUCAAUAAGCACAAAGCAAGAUGAACAAUUCACUUCAACAUAAAUAAUUAGAAUAAAUCAAAUAAUCAAUUCAUAAUCAUAAAAAGUUCAAUUGAAAUCUUAAUGAAAGAGUUAGUUCAUAAUUAAUGAAUUAAAAUCAAGAAUCCACAAUUGAAUAGACAUUAAAAGAUAAAAG